CGUCCUUCCAGGGCCGCACGGGCCCCGUGUGGGUGACAGGCAGCUCCCAGACGAAGACGGGCAGUGCCCAGCAGGGCAGCUGUGCCUGGACCCCGGCACCAACGACUCGGCCACCCUGGAUGCACUGUUCGCCGCGCUGGCCAACGGCUCAGUGCCCCGCGCCCUGUGCAAGUGCUGCUACGGCUACUGCAUUGACCUGCUGGAGCGGCUGGCGGAGGACACGCCUUUCGACUUCGAGCUGUACAUCGUAGGUGACGGCAAGUACGGCGCCCUGCGGGACGGCCGCUGGACCGGCCUGGUCGGGGACCUGCUGGCCGGCCGGGCCCACAUGGCGGUCACCAGCUUCAGUAUCAACUCCGCCCGCUCACAGGUGGUGGACUUCACCAGCCCCUUCUUCUCCACCAGCCUGGGCAUCAUGGUGCGGGCACGGGACACAGCCUCACCCAUCGGUGCCUUUAUGUGGCCCCUGCACUGGUCCAUGUGGCUGGGCGUCUUUGCGGCCCUGCACCUCACCGCGCUCUUCCUCAC
rnacentral:sRNA from 1 species